GAGUGUGAUCAUACCAACGUUAAUGCACCGGAUCCCAUCAUAACUCAACAAUUAAGCGCGCUUGGGCUAGGGUAGUACUGGGAUGGAUGACCUCCUGGUAAGUCCUAGUGUUGCACCCU
rnacentral:rRNA from 1 species